rnacentral:rRNA from 1 species
AGUCUUGAGUACAGUAGAGGUGGGCGGAAUUCGUGGUGUAGCGGUGAAAUGCUUAGAUAUCACGAAGAACUCCGAUUGCGAAGGCAGCUCACUAGACUGUUACUGACACUGAUGCUCGAAAGUGUGGGUAUCAAACAGGAUUAGAUACCCUGGUAGUCCACACAGUAAACGAUGAAUACUCGCUGUUUGCGAUAUACAGUAAGCGGCCAAGCGAAAGCAUUAAGUAUUCCACCUGGGGAGUACGCCGGCAACGGUGAAACUCAAAGGAAUUGACGGGGGCCCGCACAAGCGGAGGAACAUGUGGUUUAAUUCGAUGAUACGCGAGGAACCUUACCCGGGCUUAAAUUGCAACAGAAUAUAUUGGAAACAGUAUAGCCGUAAGGCUGUUGUGAAGGUGCUGCAUGGUUGUCGUCAGCUCGUGCCGUGAGGUGUCGGCUUAAGUGCCAUAACGAGCGCAACCCUUAUCUUUAGUUACUAACAGGUUAUGCUGAGGACUCUAGAGAGACUGCCGUCGUAAGAUGUGAGGAAGGUGGGGAUGACGUCAAAUCAGCACGGCCCUUACGUCCGGGGCUACACACGUGUUACAAUGGGGGGUACAGAAGGCGGCUACCUGGUGACAGGAUGCUAAUCCCAAAAACCUCUCUCAGUUCGGAUCGAAGUCUGCAACCCGACUUCGUGAAGCUGGAUUCGCUAGUAAUCGCGCAUCAGCCAUGGCGCGGUGAAUACGUUCCCGGGCCUUGUACACACCGCCCGUCAAGCCAUGAAAGCCGGGGGUACCUGAAGUACGUAACCGCAAG